rnacentral:rRNA from 1 species
GCAGUCGAGCGGUGAAGGGAGCUUGCUCCUGGAUUCAGCGGCGGACGGGUGAGUAAUGCCUAGGAAUCUGCCUGGUAAUGGGGGAUAACGUCCGGAAACGGGCGCUAAUACCGCAUACGUCCUGAGGGAGAAAGUGGGGGAUCUUCGGACCUCACGCUAUCAGAUGAGCCUAGGUCGGAUUACCUAGUUGGUGGGGUAAAGGCCUACCAAGGGGACCAUCCGUAACUGGUCUGAGAGGAUGAUCGGUCGCACUGGAACUGAGACACGGUCCAAACUCCUACGGGAGGCACUAGUGGGGAAUAUUGGACAAUGGGCUAAAGCC